rnacentral:rRNA from 1 species
UACGGAGGGGGCAAGCGUUGUUCGGAAUUACUGGGCGUAAAGGGUUCGUAGGUGGCCACCUAAGUCAGACGUGAAAUCCCUCGGCUUAACCGGGGAACUGCGUCUGAUACUGGGUGGCUUGAGUUUGGGAGAGGGAUGCGGAAUUCCAGGUGUAGCGGUGAAAUGCGUAGAUAUCUGGAGGAACACCGGUGGCGAAGGCGGCAUCCUGGACCAACACUGACACUGAGUGAGCGAAAGCCAGGGGAGCAAACGGG